rnacentral:rRNA from 2 species
UCGGCCACAGAAGCGAGAAACCGCCGAAUCCCGUCCGCUCUUCGAAGCUUUAAGCUCGCUAUCGCCCGGUUAGUACCAUCGUGGGGGACCAGAUGGGAAUCCCGGGUGCUGACGUUU